rnacentral:rRNA from 1 species
GAAGAAAGAGGGAGGCGUGCCUAAUACAUGCAAGUCGAGCGGACGGAUGGGAGCUUGCUCCCAGACCGUCAGCGGCGGACGGGUGAGUAACACGUGGGCAACCUGCCUGUAAGACUGGGAUAACUCCGGGAAACCGGGGCUAAUACCGGAUAACUCUUUCCCUCACAUGAGGGAAAGCUGAAAGAUGGCAUCUCGCUAUCACUUACAGAUGGGCCCGCGGCGCAUUAGCUAGUUGGUGAGGUAACGGCUCACCAAGGCGACGAUGCGUAGCCGACCUGAGAGGGUGAUCGGCCACACUGGGACUGAGACACGGCCCAGACUCCUACGGGAGGCAGCAGUAGGGAAUCUUCCGCAAUGGACGAAAGUCUGACGGAGCAACGCCGCGUGAGUGAUGAAGGUUUUCGGAUCGUAAAACUCUGUUGUCAGGGAAGAACAAGUACCGGAGUAACUGCCGGUACCUUGACGGUACCUGACCAGAAAGCCACGGCUAACUACGUG